rnacentral:rRNA from 1 species
UACGUAUGGUGCAAGCGUUAUCCGGAUUUACUGGGUGUAAAGGGAGCGUAGACGGAGAAGCAAGUCUGGAGUGAAAGCCCGGGGCUCAACCCCGGGACUGCUUUGGAAACUGUUAUUCUUGAGUGCCGGAGAGGUAAGCGGAAUUCCUAGUGUAGCGGUGAAAUGCGUAGAUAUUAGGAGGAACACCAGUGGCGAAGGCGGCCAACUGGGCUUUAACUGACGCUGAGGCUCGAAAGCGUGGGGAGCAAACAGG